AAGUAAAGUCCCUAUCUUUCAAGUUUAGGCUAGGCUGAAGAAGAGUAUGCCCACCUCUCAGUUGUCCUUGCUUGGAAGGUCCCUUUCACUAUAUUCUUCGCUGCAUCUUUUUGAAGCAGACUUUGCUUCAAGCUAAACUGGAGAGAAGAGGGAGUUCAAAUAUCACAGACUCUUCCUGUUCUUAUCAAGUUUUACCAGGUAGUAUUACAGAAGCUGCCGACAAACUAAAAGAGCUGCAUUCUCUCUGCAUUUCUGACUUAUAAAAUGAGUAAAUUCUGUUAAGAACACUGUUAACCAGAGCUAAUUUUUAUUGUUGGCAACCAUGGACCCAGACUGGCACAGAUAUGAGUAUCAGAAGACAAUUACCCAGGGAAUUGGUGUUGGUUAUUUGCCCUAAUAGUGGCUAAAGAAAAUGAAAACUCAGAUUCUGAGAAUGAGAACCUGUCAGCCAUAACAAAUAGCUGGAUAAUUUUUUCUCUGUGGUGAUCUUUAAUGAAGUGUCCAUUGAAAAGAAGGAUUUAAGGGAUCAAAGUGUCACUGCCACUGAACAGACUGAAUGGCAUGAAGAAUUUAAAGACACUAGGGUGAGGUGAAUGCUUCUAAUGGGACUGGACAGCUUAAAGAAGAGAUGACAAAUUCAAAUCUCUAUAUUUUAGCUCAAGGCAUAAACCCAGGGAAUUUCUCUGGUUGUGAUAAACAUCUGCAUACACGUCUGCCAAAAUCAAAAGCAAAUUUUAAAUUUUGUGGGCUCCUGAAUAAAAGCCCUCUGAAUUGCCAGCCUCACCAAGUUGCUCAUGUGAAAGUGACAGUGCUGAUUAGCAAAUAAUGGAAAACUGAAUAUGGGGGAAACUAUGGAGGCUUGGGAGUACACCCCCAAACCACAGUCAACACUAAGCCUUUCUUGACAGCCAAAGAAGACCCACCUCAUUUCUUUUUUGCAUCUGCAUCAUCUUACAUCAGGGCUGAGACAGCUCUCUGCCUAUCUACAGCCCUUGACUGCCACCUGCCACAAAGGGCAUCAUGCCAGCAGGACCUGGCAGGUGAAGAAUGCAGCAGCUCCCAGGUGGUCUGUCUGUCCUGUAACUUAUCUGACAGGUCAUCUGAACUCACUGUCUCCUUAAGAAGUAAAAAUGAUGAUUCCAUCAGAAUCUACAGAUCAGCAGUCUGGAGUUUGCAUUUACUCAGGAGAACAACAAAGGUGGUCAUCAGCCCUGAAAGGCACUGCCAUGGGCACAUAAGUAAACCGCCAUUCUGAAGAUGGGAGAGAGAAGUUCAAAGACAGAGGUACAAGCCAAAUGUCCCUCAGAUAGAAGCUGCACCAAAUAACCAAGAUGGCUCCAGGCCAGAUGAAUUCAAUGGGUUCUCAGUAUCACACAGGCCAAAGAAGCUAUAUAUGGGCAGAAAGAAACUUCAAUACCUAAGUGUAGGUUCCCAUUUGGUUUCAAUCAUGUGCAAUUUCCUUUUAUUUACUUAAUAGAGUAAAGGGUUUAACUAUUUUGUCCAAAUCCUAUAACACAACUGCGGAUCUGUCAAGAAAUUACGAAUUUCAUGUGGUCCCACAAUUAAUUCACUGAUUACCCUCUGCAGUAAGUCAGAGGGUAAGUUGGAGAGAUGGAUGAAAAUUGAAAAUGGGCUCUCCUCUUGCCAGGUCCCCUGGUAGGAAUGCAGCGAUAGCUCAGAAUUUGGUAAUGGUGGUCAUGGUUUAGAGAUAUUUAACUGUUUUGUUCUUAAAGUGUAAUUGCUGGUUUUAUGUAGAAUAGAGGAAAGCAGGACAUACUACUAUGGUGUUUGACCAGUGUUUAUAUGCAACACAAUUUCAAAGGUUAUUUUGAGGCCAAAAUACAAUAGAUUAUUGCAAAGUGUCUAAAUUAUGCCACAGGGUCAACUAAGUUUUAAAAAGUCUAUUGGCUCCUCAAAGAAGGUUCGUCAGUCAAAUAUCCCACAGGUUAUAUCUUCCACACCAUACAGCAGCUGAAUGGACUAAUCAACAUCCUAUAGGGGCUUCUUCUAUCAUUGUGAGACAUAUGAU